AUCAGAAGUGCGAAUGCUGACAUAAGUAACGAUAAAGCGGGUGAAAAGCCCGCUCGCCGGAAGACCAAGGGUUCCUGUCCAACGUUAAUCGGGGCAGGGUGAGUCGACCCCUAAGGCGAGGCCGAAAGGCGUAGUCGAUGGGAAACAGGUUAAUAUUCCUGUACUUGGUGUUACUGCGAAGGGGGGACGGAGAAGGCUAUGUUGGCCGGGCGACGGUUGUCCCGGUUUAAGCGUGUAGGCUGGUUUUCCAGGCAAAUCCGGAAAAUCAAGGCUGAGGCGUGAUGACGAGGCACUACGGUGCUGAAGCAACAAAUGCCCUGCUUCCAGGAAAAGCCUCUAAGCAUCAGGUAACAUCAAAUCGUACCCCAAACCGACACAGGUGGUCAGGUAGAGAAUACCAAGGCGCUUGAGAGAACUCGGGUGAAGGAACUAGGCAAAAUGGUGCCGUAACUUCGGGAGAAGGCACGCUGAUAUGUAGGUGAAGUCCCUCGCGGAUGGAGCUGAAAUCAGUCGAAGAUACCAGCUGGCUGCAACUGUUUAUUAAAAACACAGCACUGUGCAAACACGAAAGUGGACGUAUACGGUGUGACGCCUGCCCGGUGCCGGAAGGUUAAUUGAUGGGGUUAGCGGUAACGCGAAGCUCUUGAUCGAAGCCCCGGUAAACGGCGGCCGUAACUAUAACGGUCCUAAGGUAGCGAAAUUCCUUGUCGGGUAAGUUCCGACCUGCACGAAUGGCGUAAUGAUGGCCAGGCUGUCUCCACCCGAGACUCAGUGAAAUUGAACUCGCUGUGAAGAUGCAGUGUACCCGCGGCAAGACGGAAAGACCCCGUGAACCUUUACUAUAGCUUGACACUGAACAUUGAGCCUUGAUGUGUAGGAUAGGUGGGAGGCUUUGAAGUGUGGACGCCAGUCUGCAUGGAGCCGGCCUUGAAAUACCACCCUUUAAUGUUUGAUGUUCUAACGUUGGCCCCUGAUCGGGGUUGCGGACAGUGUCUGGUGGGUAGUUUGACUGGGGCGGUCUCCUCCUAAAGAGUAACGGAGGAGCACGAAGGUUGGCUAAUCCUGGUCGGACAUCAGGAGGUUAGUGCAAUGGCAUAAGCCAGCUUGACUGCGAGCGUGACGGCGCGAGCAGGUGCGAAAGCAGGUCAUAGUGAUCCGGUGGUUCUGAAUGGAAGGGCCAUCGCUCAACGGAUAAAAGGUACUCCGGGGAUAACAGGCUGAUACCGCCCAAGAGUUCAUAUCGACGGCGGUGUUUGGCACCUCGAUGUCGGCUCAUCACAUCCUGGGGCUGAAGUAGGUCCCAAGGGUAUGGCUGUUCGCCAUUUAAAGUGGUACGCGAGCUGGGUUUAGAACGUCGUGAGACAGUUCGGUCCCUAUCUGCCGUGGGCGCUGGAGAACUGAGGGGGGCUGCUCCUAGUACGAGAGGACCGGAGUGGACGCAUCACUGGUGUUCGGGUUGUCAUGCCAAUGGCACUGCCCGGUAGCUAAAUGCGGAAGAGAUAAGUGCUGAAAGCAUCUAAGCACGAAACUUGCCCCGAGAUGAGUUCUCCCUGACUCCUUGAGAGUCCUGAAGGAACGUUGAAGACGACGACGUUGAUAGGCCGGGUGUGUAAGCGCAGCGAUGCGUUGAGCUAACCGGUACUAAUGAACCGUGAGGCUUAACCUU
rnacentral:rRNA from 1 species